rnacentral:rRNA from 1 species
ACGGCCCACCAAACCAACGAUCAGUAGCCGGUCUGAGAGGAUGAACGGCCACACUGGAACUGAGACACGGUCCAGACUCCUACGGGAGGCAGCAGUGGGGAAUCUUCCGCAAUGGACGAAAGUCUGACGGAGCAACGCCGCGUGAGUGAAGACGGCCUUCGGGUUGUAAAGCUCUGUGAUCCGGGACGAAAGAGCCUGAGGUGAAUAGCCUAAGGAAGUGACGGUACCGGAAAAGCAAGCCACGGCUAACUAC